AUUGUGUGUCUGGCUUGUACAAAACGCAGGGGAGCGACCAGGAACCCUCACCAAACCCUAACUCACAUAAAUCUCACAAAUUGAAGAUCAAAUUCGUCCCCAAAUCAAAAUCCGAACAUAGAAUAGUGAUCUCCGUUACGAGGGGGUCAUAAGGAAACCGGAGCGUCAAGUGGACAAGCCGGUGGCGACGUGCGUUUAAAGGGUGUACUUUAAAGGUGAUGAUGGACUUAAUCCGGAUGGCGAUCAAGCAUCUUUUCAAAAACCGAACACAAUCUUUUGAAGCUUCCGCGAUUAGUUAACUUUGUUUAAGACAAUGUUUAUGGCGUUGACACUUUAAUAUUUGUUUUGGGGUUGUUAAACUAGUAGUAGUUAUCUAGAAGGCUAACUUUAUAAAAACUUCCGUUUGGUAUGAAAUAUAAAUUGAAGUUUUUGGUUUAAAAA